rnacentral:rRNA from 1 species
UACAGAGGUGGCAAGCGUUGUUCGGAAUUACUGGGCGUAAAGGGCGCGUAGGCGGCCUACUAAGUCAGACGUGAAAUCCCCCGGCUUAACCUGGGAACUGCGUCUGAUACUGGAAGGCUUGAGUAUGGGAGAGGGAUGUAGAAUUCCAGGUGUAGCGGUGAAAUGCGUAGAUAUCUGGAGGAAUACCGGUGGCGAAGGCGGCAUCCUGGACCAUUACUGACGCUGAGGCGCGAAAGCUAGGGGAGCAAACGGG